rnacentral:rRNA from 1 species
AGUCAUAUGCUUGUCUCAAAGAUUAAGCCAUGCAUGUCUAAGUAUAAGCAAUUAUACAGCGAAACUGCGAAUGGCUCAUUAUAUAAGUUAUCGUUUAUUUGAUAGUACCUUACUACUUGGAUAACUGUGGUAAUUCUAGAGCUAAUACAUGCUAAAAACCCCGACUUCGGGAGGGGUGUAUUUAUUAGAUAAAAAACCAAUGCCCUUCGGGGCUCCUUGGUGAUUCAUAAUAACUUAACGAAUCGCAUGGCCUUGCGCCGGCGAUGGUUCAUUCAAAUUUCUGCCCUAUCAACUUUCGAUGGUAAGGUAGUGGCUUACCAUGGUUUCAACGGGGUAACGG